CUCCACUUCAUCCAGUUCGCGCUGCUGGCCGCCGUGCUAGGAACCGCAGCCAAGGCCGCGGCGGCGUUCCACGCGCGCGCGUCGUGGCGCCCGCAGGGCCUCGCGGCCGCCGCGGCCCUGGCCACCGUCGCGUGGGCGGCCACCGCGCUCGCGCUCGGUCUCGCGUGCAAGGAGAUGCGGGCCGCCGCGGCGGCGCGCGGGUGGCGGAUGCGCGCGCUCGAGGCGCUCACCGCGACGCUGGCCGUCACGCAG
rnacentral:lncRNA from 1 species